rnacentral:rRNA from 1 species
UACGUAGGGGGCUAGCGUUGUCCGGAAUCAUUGGGCGUAAAGAGCGUGUAGGCGGUCCGGUAAGUCCGCUGUGAAAGUCGGGGGCUCAACCCUCGAAUGCCGGUGGAUACUGUCGGGCUAGAGUGCGGAAGAGGCGAGUGGAAUUCCUGGUGUAGCGGUGAAAUGCGCAGAUAUCAGGAGGAACACCUAUUGCGAAGGCAGCUCGCUGGGACGUAACUGACGCUGAGGAGCGAAAGCGUGGGGGAGCAAACAGG